rnacentral:rRNA from 1 species
UACGGAGGGGGCUAGCGUUGUUCGGAAUUACUGGGCGUAAAGCGCACGUAGGCGGGCUGGAAAGUCAGGGGUGAAAUCCCGGAGCUCAACCCCGGAACUGCCUUAGAAACUUCCAGGCUUGAGGUCGGAAGAGGGGAGUGGAAUUCCGAGUGUAGAGGUGAAAUUCGUAGAUAUUGGGAAGAACACCGGUGGCGAAGGCGGCGCACUGGUCCGGUACUGACGCUGAGGCGCGAAAGCGUGGGGAGCAAACAGG